CUAUUAGCUAGUUGGUAAGGUACGGCUUACCAAGCGCAUGAUAGCUAGGGGGNGUGAGAGGAGAUCCCCCACACUGGUACUGAGACACGGACCAGACUCCUACGGGAGGCAGCAGUGAGGAAUAUUGGACAAUGGUCGAAAGACUGAUCCAGCCAUGCCGNGUGCAGGAUGAAUGCCCUAUGGGUUGUAAACUGCUUUUAUACGGGUUGUUCACCACCCACGUGUGGGUGACUGACGGUNCCGU
rnacentral:rRNA from 1 species